GUCCUUGCCUACAAUCCACAGCGACCUGCCCUUUCCUCCCACACUACAGAAGAGCAGUGGGGAGCAGCGGCCGCAGCGGACGGUAGCCUAGCGGAUGCAGCCUCCUUUUCGGACAGACGCACAGUCUCACACAAUACCAACUCUGAUGACAUGCUGAACACCACUUCACUAAAACGACUCGUAGAAUCCAUCUCUAGGAAUGAGAAGGGAGAUGUUGAAGUGGUUAAGCUAACACAUAAACUCCAGCCGUAUGAACUCCGCCGUCGCCGUCGUCAGGAGCUGCUGGAGCACAUUGCUUCCUUCCUCAGGGAAGAAGAGAUAGAAGAGGAUAAUGACAGCAGGAAGAGCGCCUCACCACCAUCAACGCCCUCGUCUCCCGUGCCUCAACCUCAUCGACUCCUCAUCUCCCCCAGCUACUUGGUUUCACCGCCAGGGACAUUGAACCUCAGGCUGGUAGCACUAUAGCAGGACAUAUGUUUGGAAGACCAGAGGCAGAGACUGAGGUUAGAACCUACACCCCUAUAGCAGGUAUGAUGACACCUACUCAGAGCUCUACCAGGCCAGAACCACUGCAGUUUCAUGCUUCGGAGCAACCUCCCCCCUGUGAUGAUGCAAGACGAGUAUGUGGACAGUUGAGUGCUACGGCUCCGAUACAUGAGCCUGCAGCAGUCUCCUACAGCCAUCCAGGCGCACAACAUUACCACUCACCACAAGUGAUACCUCACACCCUCUACAGCCAUGGCCCACCUCAGUAUGCUACAUUGCCUUCAUUAAUUCAACCACCUCAGCAGACUCUAUCUGUCCCAAGGGAUAACUCAUAUUCAGCUCAUCAGAUGCAUCUUGUAAUGGUAAAAAUAUGUUAUAAGAUUGUUUUCUGCUAAAGCCGUCUCAAGUGUCCUGUAUUUGACCCUGAUGUGCAAAGAGCAGUAUGAUACAAAAUGUUGGUUUGCAGCUGUGCUCUGAGAAGGGAGGACGGUUGACUCGAUCUCAUAGAAGCUUCAAAACAAAGGACUCCUCUUCAUGGCCUUGGUUGAUAUCUUAUUCUGCACGAAAGUUCUGGAUCCAAGUUUUACUUUCAUGUCAAGUAACAAUGAUUUGCACUGGCCAUUGAGGAGGAUCUUGUGUGUGUGCUACCCUCAGCUUCACCUGGGUUCUUAUCUCAACCUGCUUUGCAGCUUCUCGUAGCUGGCACGGAGAAUGUCCUUCAUAUGUGUAUAAAAACUCAGUGUCUUUUGUGCUCGGAGACGCCAUUUCCACAGAGCACUGUGAUACGUGCCUGUGUAUUUGACCUCCUGCUUGCAAGCAAUAAAUGGACUUUUUGCAACUUUGAUCAUUCAUCAAGACUCUGUUUUAUCAGACAAAUCAUUCUCUUCUA
ensembl:lncRNA